rnacentral:rRNA from 1 species
UACGGGGGGGGCAAGCGUUGUUCGGAAUUACUGGGCGUAAAGGGCUCGUAGGCGGCCAACUAAGUCAGACGUGAAAUCCCCAGGCUCAACCUGGGAACUGCGUCUGAUACUGGAUGGCUUGAAUUCGGGGGAGGGAUGCAGAAUUCCAGGUGUAGCGGUGAAAUGCGUAGAUAUCUGGAGGAAUACCGGUGGCGAAGGCGGCAUCCUGGACCGACAUUGACGCUGAGGAGCGAAAGCUAGGGGAGCAAACGGG